CACGUUAAAUUAAAAAGUGUCUCCACAAUAAAUUAACCCACUUAUUCACACUGGGAGCAACUGGCAUUAAGGACCUUGCCCA